CCAAACAGGGCAGUAGAACACUGCGGCGAGGUAGCUGUCUGCGUGCAUGAGCUAGGAGCUAUAUCUGUAGUCUAUAUUGGUUGUCUACAAGAUAUGGGAUGAACCUCAGUUGCAAUGCUUGUCUAUGUUUAUUUCAUAUUUGUUGCGGUGUUCUCAUAUUGGAUGUUUGCCGGAGCAUAACUUAUUGACAAGAACUCACUAUCUUCUAUUUUCACAGGCCCAUCAUGAACUGCAGUACGAGGAGCAUCCUGAAAUUAAGCUACAACCUGGGCAGGGCCAGUCACAUACUUCCCAGGAAUGGGCUGCGAAGACAGUCAACAGCGCCAUCUGCUGCAGAGGAUGAGAAAAAGCUGCAGUUUCUGAGUGUGAUGCGGGAAGUGCCUGCUCCAGUGGUGGUGGUGACGGCGGCCGCCCCGGGCCCGG